UUCACCUUAAACUAAGUCAGUCUUGUUUCCUUCACCAAAUUCUGGCAUUAGGUGUGAAAAGAUGAGGCGUAUAUUGGUUGCAAUGAGGCAAAACCUCCAGAACAUAAGGAAGAGUCCGCGAGUAGCAGACGAGAAUAUGUUUGGUGAUCAUGGGAAUGGAGCUGGAUUACCAGUCUUUGCACAAAACACAGACAGAACGCGACAUGGGUGGAAUGGACUUUCAAUUAUAUGUAGCAUUGUACGAGCUCCUCUCUCGCUUCUCUCUUGCCUAUCUCACCCUCACAUCAAUGGUGCCGAUGGAGUCUGGGUGUCUGGUGAGUUGGCGCGGAUAUCAGAGAUGAACCAUCUUAUGGUUAGUGACAGCAUGCGUUACGCCAUACUGAUGUGAAACUGUAAGUUGGCUGAGUUUGCAUGUUUUUGAUAUUGUGUUUUUGAAUAUUCUGGCUGGACUGGCCUGUAGUUUUGUGUCCCAGUAUUAGACAGAUAUCAAUACAUGAAAAUAAUAGUCUUCAGGGUUGGUCACAUGUCCAGUUGGACAAUCACUUGCAUGUAAUGGAGGUUAGAAAUCGAUUGCAUUCAUUAGUCUUGGGGAUUUAAAAUUUAAAUUUAAUAUGUAAUAGUAAAAUUGUGCCAUUUUUUCAUUUUUAAUGACACUAUAGUAAUCAGUAAUCAUGUCCCAUGGGUUUUGCUCAAGGAGAUGGGUCUAAAGUAGAAUCUUGCCUAACAAAGAUCUUAGUAAUUCUGUCUGUGAAUAUAACUGAUCUGGUGUGCGUGCGCAUUAAAAGCGAGUCCUUUAAAAAAGUUCCACCAAGGACCAAAUAUAAAAUAUAAUCCAAGUAUCUAACAAAGAAAAUUCAAGCAAAGUUUGAGAUCAUAAAAAGUAUUACCUGCUCAGAAAUACAAAUAUCGCACCUGAGACAUUGAAGCAGCCAGAAAGUUGGUGACUGAAAAUUUCUAUCUGCCUUCGAGUGGGCUCACCUGUAUGCAUCUUUUCAGCUAUAUAUGAGUUGACUCAAACAGGUGAUUCAUGACUUCCAGAGUAACUCCAGAUUUACUUGGUGGCUAAUUCCUAAAUAUCCAAUCUGUCCUGCACCAAAAUUUCAGACUUUAGUGGGUUUUUUCACUUUCUCUGCCACAUUACUUUGAGAUAUAUAAAAUAAGAAUAUCAUUUAUCUCAGUCUUUCCUCUGUUUUUCUUUUGGUAUUCAACUGCUGCCCGCACUGUAAUACCAAGUGCCUAUAAAAAUUAAGCCUAUAACUCGAAACCCUGUAUUUUUUUGACAAUUAAGAAGUAGAAUACGGAGGAAUCCGAAGACUACAAGACCUUCACCUCUGCCACACAUUGCAUUGUCCGUCACUAUUCCAGACAUUACAUAAAACUGCAACAUGCAAGGAACUUGAGUAGAAAUCACUUGUUGCUGCAUCACCUUAUUAUUUGACUUCUAAAAUUCUACGACUUACCUGUAUAUGCACUCACAUCUCAUCCAGUACUUUUAUCUACUGAACUUUUUAACUUUCAGUUGGAAUUACUCAACAGGCUAUUGUUUCAGGGACGCAAUAUAGUUUUAAGCACUCCAUUUCUUGUGGUGUGUGUUCUUAUUCUUAAAGGAGAGACUAUAAAAGUGUAAUAAUGUUGUUGGGGUUUUGUCCAUAUUAAGUGGGACAUGAGAGAAAGGGUCAACUGUUCCUACUCUGUUUGCCGGUUAUCUUAAUGGAAACUACUGGACUCUAAAGGUGGUGAGACCCAUGCAUUAGAAGGCAAUUCAAUGGUGUUCUCAUAUUUUUUGAACUCAUCCAAUAUAACUGACAAAAAUCUCUCACAAUUACUGUAAAUAUAACUCUAGUUAAGUGUGCCACACUUGAACAAAAAGUCCAACAGAUCGCAGAAAGCAAUUAUGCAUGGAGGCUGAUAAACCAGACUGUAAAAGUUUUUUUAUGACCUUUUGAAAAGUAUUCUGUUAUAAUGACUAUGCAAAGUUUAGCACAAGAGUUAAGUCUUCAUCUUCAUUCAAAUACUUUACCUAAACGUGGGUGGGUAUCAGGGUAUGUGCCCUAGCAUUUAUAAAUGUUUCCCUUUGCUCUACAGACUGAUCUGUAUUUGUACGUAGUGUGUAUAUGUAUGUGUAUAUACAUACAUAUAUAUAUAUAUAUAUAUAUAUAUAUAUACAUACACAAAUAUAUAUAUAUAUAUAUAUAUAUGUGUGUGUGUGUGUGUGUGUGUGUGUGUGUGUGUGUGUGUAUAGUUUAUACUUCAUAGUAAUAAGAAGUUAUAGGAUAAAACAAUUCUCAUCUGGACGAUAUUCUUUUUUUUUCAAUUCUACCUGAUAUUUUGAAUCCUAAUCACCAAGGAAUAAAGAAAAGCUCUACUGAUAUAAAUAUUAUAAAUUCUUUUAAAAUUUUCAUCUUGCAGUCUUUUCUGCCAAGAACAGUAUUAUUACUUUAUUGUCACACUAGUGGCCUCCUAGGAAUCUUCAAUCAAUCAAAGAAAAAGAUAAACUUAUUAAUUAGGUAUUAAAUGGAGUUACUUUAUUUUCCCAUACUCCUAAUUAUUAGACAUAAGAGUGUAAAUGAACCGAGUCAAGUCGAGCUGAGUAUUGAAUUGGAUUUAGUUCACAAAAUUUAUCGAGUAUAAAAUAAGGUUUGAUUGAAGCUCGUUUAGCUACCGAGUCGAGCACGAUCUCGCCCGAGUAGUUUGAACUUUUCGAACGAAUAUAAUCCGAGUAUCAAUAGAAAAUUACAAUUUGAGGAGGUUGGAGUAAUUAUCGAACUUUAAAAUUUGUUCAUAUUUGACUCAUUUAUAUUUCGAGUCGAGCUCGAAUCGAAUUUUUUGUCGAGCGGGUACGAAUCGAGCCCGAACUGUUUGCUUAUUUUACAGCCUUAAUUAAACAUAAGUUUUCCUAUACUCUGCAUAUGUAGGCAAAUGUAAAUGAUUCAUGGUUUUUCAGUUUUUUCAGUCAUAAUGUUUUAUUGGUGUCCGUGCUUGUGAAAAUAAAAUUUGUUAUUCAUCUAAAAUGAAAUUUAUUCCAACCUCAUAUUUUCUUAAAAAGAGUGCCACUAGACAUUAACCAUUAGCCAGUGUUAGUUGAUCCCCAUUAACCACGGGUGCUGGGAAGGUGGCCAACAUACAACACAUAAGGCUCAGACAUUUUUUUCCCUUAAACCCAGUUCCAACGCUCAUAGCAUGAGCAAUGACCAUUGCACCAACUAUUAACCCCUACUCUCUUACAUCCUACAAAUCCAAUAUAUGUACAUAGAAAUUUCAAACAUAUGAAAAACCAACCAGAUAAGCAAUGGUUGGGAUAAACAAAGAGUCCAUUAUUCUAGCAAAAAAAACAAUUCUGUUUCCAUCAUUUUUAUUUAUUGACAGUAAAUCAUUUAGAAACUAUAUGCUCCACAAAUUCAGUAAAAUCAUUGCCUAGAACACUACUGACAGUUGAUGUCACAUAUGUGCAAUUGAGAUUUGACAUAAAGAGGUGGCUCAGUAAAAUGUGAAUGAAGACAAGUUCAGCCUCUUAUCCUAUACAGUAUUUGAUUGGAGAAACUGUAGUGAGAUCCAAAGUCUAUUUCCAUCUCUGUCUUCUUAACAAUCAAAUGAACGGGUAAACAAAAAUAUACUUAUAUAACUGGUAAUAAUGAUAUAUGAAAGUAAUUGGGAAAGGCAAGAACCAUUAAAGAAACACAACAUGCAACUAAAGUACCUUUUCAAGCCCUAUCAUUAUCCUUCCCUAAUAAAGCAGACCGUUCAAGUGCUACGCUCUGGUUCCCUCCAAAAUUCUUUAUCUUUUCAUACAAGCUGAAAAUGACAAGGGGAAUAAAGUAGAUUACCAAAGAGCCAAGGAAAUAAUUGAGUCCUAAUAUUGACUAACAACAAUUUAAAAGGAAAACCAUAAAAGAAGAGGAUUAAAAUAUUGUUGGCACCAACUUUUUAAUCUCUUUAUUUUUUUGACUUUUUUAUUUUAUAUGUAUACUUGGGAAGGCAGUUUCAUAUGAAACGUAUUUCAAGGGAUACAUCAAUUUUCAAAGAAAAUCAUGAUUACAAUUUAAAAGUCUGUGGAAAUGUUUCUUACCCAAGACUAUUGAUUCACAUGCUAUUCCAUUCUUUAUUAUAUGAUCAAUAUCUACCUUCAUAACUUGGGCCAGCAAAAGAUGGUAACAUGACAGACCAAGGAAAAACCUUUAUCCUUGACUUGAACCCAAACUGAU
rnacentral:lncRNA from 1 species